GGGGAAUGGUCCUUAUUUUGCUCUUCCACAGUAAUAGAACUAGCGGGGGUGUCAUCUUCGGCAAAGACCUUCUCCGUACGGAUGUACUUCUUUGUCCAGGCCAACAUGUUGGAAUAAUCCUGAGGAUAGGUCUUCACCAACAACUUUUUAAGGUCGUUCUUCAAAAGUCCACCCAUCAUCAUGGACAUCACAAUCGAUGGGCUCAGAUCAUGAA
rnacentral:lncRNA from 1 species